rnacentral:ncRNA from 1 species
AUGUGUUAUCGGCAAAACCGGCGCAAACCGGCGACGCAAAGCUAUAUGGGCCCACCGGGUCAGCCAGCUGCCAAC